UAAUACGUAGGUGGCGAGCGUUGUCCGGAUUUAUUGGGCGUAAAGCGCGCGCAGGCGGUCCGUUACGUCCGUUGUGAAAGCUCCCGGCUCAACUGGGAGAGGUCUUCGGAUACGGGCGGACUCGAGGAAGGUAGAGGAAGGUGGAAUUCCCGGUGUAGUGGUGAAAUGCGUAGAGAUCGGGAGGAACACCAGUGGCGAAGGCGGCCUUCUGGGCCUUUCCUGACGCUGAGGCGCGAAAGCGUGGGGAGCGAACCGGAUUAGAUACCCGGGUAGUCCACGCCGUAAACGAUGCUCACUAGAUGUGGGGGGUAUCGACCCCCUCCGCGUCGAAGCUAACGCAUUAAGUGAGCCGCCUGGGGAGUACGGCCGCAAGGCUA
rnacentral:rRNA from 1 species